rnacentral:rRNA from 1 species
ACGCUGGCGGCGUGCUUUAACACAUGCAAGUCGAACGGUGACCCAGGGCUUGCCCUGGUGAUCAGUGGCGAACGGGUGAGUAACACGUGGGCAACCUGCCCCUGACUUCGGGAUAACUCCUCGAAAGAGGAGCUAAUACCGGAUACGACCACUUCGGACAUCCGAUGGUGGUGGAAAGUUUUUCGGUCAGGGAUGGGCCCGCGGCCUAUCAGCUAGUUGGUGGGUAAUGGCCUACCAAGGCGACGACGGGUAGCCGGCCUGGGAGGGCGACCGGCCACACUGGGACUGAGACACGGCCCAGACUCCUACGGGAGGCAGCAGUGGGGAAUAUUGCGCAAUGGCGAAAGCCUGACGCAGCGACGCCGCGUGAGGGAUGAAGGCCUUCGGGUUGUAAACCUCUUUCAGCAGGGACGAAGCGAAAGUGACGGUACCUGCAGAAGAAGCACCGGCUAACUACGUG